GCAUCUUGCGUCCCUGCCAUUCAGCCUGGAACACCCCCCUGCUGCCUGUAUGAAAACCUAACAGUGUGGACUAUCGUCCGGUACAAGAUCUGAGAGAAGUUAACCGCCGAGUCAUAGACAUACACCCAACAGUACCCAACCCCUAUACCCUCCUAAGUGCCCUCAGCCCAGAAAGACAAUGGUAUACUGUCCUUGAUUUAAAAGAUGCUUUUUUUCAGCCUGCCUCUGGCCCCCAAAAGUCAAGAGCUCUUCGCCUUCGAGUGGUCCGACACUGAGAGAGGCAUAAAUGGGCAUCUCACCUGGACCCGGCUCCCCCAAGGAUUUAAAAACUCACCCACCUUGUUCGAUGAGGCACUUCACGAGGAUCUGGGUGAGUACCGGAAUCAAAACCCCGAAGUGACUCUUGCAGUACGUUGACGAUCUUUUAAUUGCCGCUGAGACUGCCGAAGCUUGCUUGCAAGGCACCAAAAAUCUCCUCCGGACACUUGGUGCCCUGGGGUACCGGGCUUCAGCAAAAAAAGCCCAAAUUUGCAGAUCCGAGGUAACCUACUUGGGGUAUCUGUUAAGAAAAGGCCAACGAUGGCUCACUGAUGCACAGAAGGAAACCGUCCUCCGCAUCCCCCGACCCACAACGCGAAGGCAGACCUGGACUUGGAUACCCCCCUCCAUGACUGCGCUGAGAUAUUGGCACAGGUUCAUGGAGUUCGGGAAGAUUUACAGGAUCACCCGCUACCAGACGCUGAGGUUACCUGGUUCACUGACGGCAGCAGCUUUGUACAUCAGGGUCAAAGGUACGCGGGGGCAGCAGUCACAACUGAAACUGAGACUGUUUGGGCAGAGCCUUUGCCAGCUGGCACCUCUGCCCAACGGGCUGAACUUGUGGCCUUAACCAAGGCACUGACUUUGGGAAAAGACAAGAAACUAAACGUGUAUACCGAUAGCAGAUAUGCUUUUGCUACGGCCCACAUACAUGGAGCUAUAUACAGAGAGAGGGGACUGUUAACUGCAGAGGGGAAAACUAUCAAAAACAAAGAAGAAAUAUUGGCUCUUUUAAAGGCACUCUGGCUGCCUAAAUGACUAGCCAUCAUACAUUGCCCAGGCCACCAAAAACCGGUCACACCGGUGGCCAGAGGAAAUAAUUUGGCUGACCAGGUGGCCAGAGAGGCGGCCUUACAGGUGGACUGUGCUUUAAUGACCACCCUACCAGACCCCGGUUCAGCUAGUUUACCAGAAAAUCCUGCCUACACUAAAGAAGACCUAAACUGGAUCCAAAAAUUACCUUUAACUCAGUGCCUUAACGGAUGGUGGAGAGCAGCAAACUGUAGCAUAAUCCUCCCAGAAGAAAUGGGAAAUAAAGUCUUAUCCAAGAUGCACCGAGCCACUCAUAUGGGCACAAGAAAAAUGCAAGACUUAAUAAGACAUGCUAGGAUCACCAUUAAAGACUCCAGGACAAAAAUUGAGCAGAUAGUUACUAGCUGUAAAGCUUGCCAAUUAACUAACGCCACCAACCACGGGGAAAACCCUGGCUCCAGAACCCGCGGAACCAGGCCGGGAGCCUAUUGGGAAGUAGACUUCACCGAGGUAAAGCCUGGAAAAUAUGGAUAUAAAUAUUUGUUAGUGUUUAUAGAUACCUUUUCAGGAUGGACAGAGGCCUUCCCCACCAAGCAUGAGACUGCGCAGGUAGUAGCAAAGAAACUGUUAGAAGACAUCAUGCCCAGGUACAGAUUCCCCACCCUAAUAGGAUCAGACAAUGGACCAGCAUUCAUUUCAAAGGUAAUACAAGGGAUAGCGCAGUUUAUUGGGGCUGAUUGGAAACUACAUUGUGCAUAUAGACCCCAAAGCUCAGGACAGGUAGAAAGAAUGAAUAGAACUCUAAAAGAGACCUUAACUAAAUUGACCAUGGAGACUGGCGCUAAUUGGGUAGUCUUACUCCCCUACGCUCUGUUCAGGGUGCGGAACUCCCCUUACAAACUGGGAUUAACCCCCUUUGAAAUCAUGUAUGGAGUGCCCCCCCCCCAUAAUUCCCAACCUACAGUCUAAUGUGUUAACUGAAUUUGAUGAUCAUAAACUUCUUAUUUCCCUGAGGGAACUCCAGCACACCCACCAGGAAGUUUGGCCCAGAUUGAGAGCCAUUUAUGAAAACGGGCCCCCUCCUGAGCCUCAUCACUACCGACCCGGAGAUUGGGUAUACGUGCGGAGACACAAGCAAGAGACCCUCCAACCACGGUGGAAGGGACCCUACAUUGUGAUCCUAACCACACCCACUGCUCUCAAAGUCAACGGGAUUGCUACCUGGAUCCAUUACACCCACGCCCGACCAGCUGAUCCCUUUGCGGUUCGAGAAGACUUCGUGCCGGAAGCCAACACCGCCUGGACGGUUGACCAGAGUAAGACCCAUCCUUUAAAAUUGACUCUGCGUCGAAAACCUGACCCCGAAAACCAGCUGAGAUCAAAGGCCUGGGUGUCCCAUACCAAGACUGUUGCAGCAGCUCCGGACCCACAAUGAUCGGAGGAACACUCACUAGCGUGCUCCUGCUCACCUCCUACGGACUGAUAAGUAUUGCGGGCAACUCCCACAUACCCUAUACUUUAACUUGGGAGGUUUCUAAUUGGGAAACCCAUGAAGUCUAUAAUACUACCACAAAGACAGAUGUUCCCUUAAAUACCUGGUGGCCGGAUCUCUAUUUUAAUUUAGAACAGAUGGCUAAGUCAGUCGGACUAGACCACGGGAGGGGAAAGGAAACAAGAAAUUUCUUAAGCGAAACAGGGUUUUAUGCAUGCCCUGGGUUUGGACAAAAAGCUCGCUCCAUAUGUGGGGGAAUUCUCAGCUACUACUGUAAGUCCUGGAGUUGUGUCACCGCCAAUGACGGUAAAUCAAAAUGGAAGGUAACACCUCUUUACAUCGACAUGUCAUUUGUCAAGCCCUGUGACAUAGGUUUUUCCGGCCGAGGAUAUUACUCAGAAAAUUGUAACCUUGUCCGUAUCAAAUUUCUAGAAGAUGGAAAAAAAGAAACUAGAUGGACCAAUGGGCUUACUUGGGGAAUCUAUUUAUAUCGGGGACCACCCCACUAUGCAACUGUUAUUCAGAUAAAACUAAAGGUAGAACCCAAGAUUCCACCAGUGCUAGUAGGACCGAAUCUAGUAGUAAGGGCCACAAGUGAGCCUACUACUAGGGCCACAAGUGAGCCUACUACUACUACUCCAGGGCCCACAAGUAAGCCUACUAAUACCACGGGCAAGGGUCCUAGCUCUUUGGCCACUUAGGUGACCACAGUAACCAGGACCCCAAGAAAACCCCAAAAAAUUCAAAUCCCAUUCAAAGAUGACCCCUUAUGGGUAAUGAUGAAUACCACUUAUAAGGCCUUAAACCAUACUAAACCCAAUGAAACAGAAGCUUGUUAGCUGUGCUAUUCCACAAAACCUCCAUUUUACGAGUCAGUAGCAAUAGUAGGAAAUUAUAGCACUGCAAACAACUCAGACGCUUGCAGUUGGGGACAGAAAAGACCCGGCCUCACACUACCAGUGCUUAUGGGAAAUGGGACAUGUAUAGGAACAGUGCCAACAAAAUAUAGCCACUUAUGCAUAAGUAACAGAAAUAUAUUCAAUACUUCAGAAAACUGGAUUAUUCCACCAAAUAACUCAUGGUGGCUUUGUUCUCAUGCGGGAUUAACCCCUUGCCUCUAUAAGGAUAUGUUCAAUCAGUCAGAAUUCUGUAUAAUGGUAAUUGUGUUCCCAAAAAUCAUAUACCGCACAACUGAGUAUGUAGACCAGAUGUGGAUAGCACCCAAAAGAGUAACUAAGAGAGCACUCAUUACUGCAGGGGCUCUAACUCUAGCCACCAUAUUCGGACUCGGGGCCAUUGAAACAGGGACAGGGAUCUCGGCCUUAACUAUACAAAACAAGGGCUUUAGUAUACUUAGAGAAGUGGUUGACAAAGAUAUAGAAAGAAUUGAGACUGCCAUCACUUCGCUUGAAAAAUCCCUAACCUCCCUCUCGGAAGUAGUUUUACAAAACAGGAGAGGAUUAGACCUGCUGUUCCUACAGCAGGGUGGUCUCUGUGCAGCACUAGGAGAAGAGGGUUGCUUCUAUGCUGACCACACAGGAAUAGUAAGGGAUUCUAUGGCCAAGAUCCGAGAAGGGCUAGCCAAACGAAAAAAAGAAAGAGAACAGGAGGCAGGGUGGUUUGAAUCCUGGUUCAACGCGUCCCCUUGGUUAACUACCCUGCUCUCCGCUUUACUUGGGCCUCUGGCCAUUCUACUUCUCGCUCUCACAUUAGGCCCCUGCAUCAUAAACAAAAUUAUUAAUUUUAUCCAAGACAGGUUCAAUGCUGUACAAUUAAUGGUCUUACAAACUCAGUACCAACCGCUCGAGACAUUACAAAUAGAAAACUGAAGAUCCAAGAUUGGCUCUUUAGGCACAAGGAAAAGGGGGGAAUAAAAGGAACAGCUUUGAGUCCAAAUGACAGCCCUGCCUUAGUUUAAAGCUAGGUUCUCUUUUCUGCUUAUUAUAGAUCUUUGAUAAGAAAUACAAUUGCUGAGAAGUCUGUUUUGCUUGCUGUUUGCUAUGAGCAUUGUGAGACCUUUCCUGAUUGUAACCCGCUGUGUAGUAGAAUGGGCUGUAAAACUUCCUAAAUGUAGUCUGAUAUGUAAUGGAAUGAGUGAUUGUACAUAAACUAACCAGCAUUUCUCGCUUCUGUAAACCUGCUUGCUUAGCACAUUCCUCACCUACCCCCUUCCCCCUUUUUUCCUCCCGCCACAAGUAACGGACAAAGCCUUCCCGCCAAAGGACAGACAGAGGACGCCCAAUCAGAGAACAACAAAUGUCCUUACUUUAAAAUCAACUAAUCAGGCCCCUCAUAAUUUGAAACCUCCCCUGUGCUAUUUGUCUCUGUCUAUAAAAACGCUAUACCAACCCUGAUCGUGGCCUCUUAGCGUCACCGGCAACGAGUGCGCAGAGGUCCAGGUUCGAACCUGCAAUAAAUGACCCUUGCCGCUUGGCUUUGA